ensembl:lncRNA
GCAAAUAAAGCAGCUUUGGAAAUGGGCUUUAAAGCGAGAGGGACAUUCCUGAGUCUGACCAGAGGGCAGAAUCCCGAACCCAGAGGCUCAGUCGAGCCUUGCAUGCAAUAAGGGUCGUGACCUCUGCAAGAGAGGACUGUGUUCACCCUCCGGAGCCGUGUGAGACACUUUUUUAUGGACUCUGGGGCUGAUCCGUGCUGGUCGCUGAGGAAAUACAUCAACUUUGCACUGUGGAUCGCAGAAUGGGCUUUCACCGUGGACGAAGCGGAGUCCAGCCUGGGGUCGUCACAUGUGGUUGCCGCACGCACAAGGCAAGCUCUGCCACCUAAAGGACAGACGAUCCUUCCGGUCCAGACGUGGGGGAAAAAAGUGGGAGGUGGAUGGAGACGGAGAAGGACCAUCUUAACCCAUUUGAUCUUCACAAGCACCCCACUAAACGGC